CCAGGCAAGAAUACUGGAGUAGGCUGCUGUUUUCUUCUCUAGGGGAUCUUCCUGACCCAAAGAUCGAACCCGCUUCUCCUUCGCUGGUGGGCGGACUCUUUACCACUGAACCACCUGGGAAGUGCCCCAACCCCACCAUUAUUCUUGGUUUUUCUCAAAUAGUCUUCAAGAAAAAAGUUGAUUUGGUUGGGAAACUACUUUGGGGGCCCAGCUGAAAAAAUGAAACCUCAGAAAAUUGACAAGAGACAAUACUGUCCUGCUCCUUGCUCUAAGACACAACUGGAGAUCAACACUGGGGUACAGGCAAUGGAAUUAUGUGUCUUUGUUCAAAUGAACUGAAUAAUCAGAAAAAGAAGAGGAUUCUGUGUUUUCAUUAACCAGUAGACAUUCCACCAUUUUCAUUGUAAGGUCAAAUAUACUUCAAAAAUAUCAGAGACAAGAAGUCAGUGGGCCAGUAUAUUCAAAGUGCUCAAAUCAAAACGUCAAGCAAAAGUCCUCUACCGAGCAGAACUGCCCUUCAAAAGUGAGGGAGAAAUUAAGAUGUUCUCAGAUAAACAAAAGCUGAGGGAAUUUGUUACCACUAAGACCUGCUCAACGGAGACUCCAAGGUGAAAUGAAAGGACCCGAGACAGUACCUCAAAGGCAUAUUGAGAAAUAAAAUUUCAGUAACAGUAAAUACAUGGGUAAUAAUAAAAGUAAUAUUAAAAAUGA